AUUGAACGCUGGCGGUAUGCUUAACACAUGCAAGUCGAACGGUAACAGGCCUAGCUUGCUAGGUGCUGACGAGUGGCGGACGGGUGAGUAACGCGUGGGAAUCCGCCUUAUUGUGGGAGAUAACCUGGGGAAACUCAGGCUAAUACCGCAUGAGCCCUAAGGGGGAAAGGAUGGGACCGAAAGGCCAUUCGCGAUAAGAUGAGCCUGCGUUGGAUUAGCUAGUUGGUGGGGUAAAGGCCUACCAAGGCGAGGAUCCAUAGCUGGUCUGAGAGGACGAUCAGCCACACUGGGACUGAGACACGGCCCAGACUCCUACGGGAGGCAGCAGUGGGGAAUAUUGGACAAUGGGGGCAGCCCUGAUCCAGCAAUACCGCGUGUGUGAAGAAGGCCUGCGGGUUGUAAAGCACUUUCAGUGGGGAGGAAGAGCUCGGUGCUAAUAGUAUCGAGUUGAGACGUUACCCACAGAAGAAGCACCGGCUAACUCUGUGCCAGCCGCCGCGGUAA
rnacentral:rRNA from 1 species